rnacentral:rRNA from 1 species
CAGCCGCCGCGGUAAUACCGGCGGCCCGAGUGGCGGUCACUAUUAUUGGGCUUAAAGCGUCCGUAGCCGGGUUGGGAAGUCCUCCGGGAAAUCUGGCCGCUUAACGGUCAGAAUGCCGGAGGAUACUCCCAGCCUAGGGAGCGGGAGAGGCCGAGGGGAUUCCCGGAGUAGGGGUGAAAUCCUAUAAUCCCGGGAGGACCACCUGUGGCGAAGGCGCUCGGCUGGAACGCGUCCGACGGUGAGGGACGAAGGCCAGGGGAGCAAACCGGAUUAGAUACCCGGGUAGUCCUGGCUGUAAACGAUGCGGACUUUGUGUCGGACAAGCUAUGAGCUUGUCCGGUGCCGGAGGGAAACCGUUAAGUCCGCCGCCUGGGGAGUACGGCCGCAAGGCUGAAACUUAAAGGAAUUGGGGGG